rnacentral:rRNA from 1 species
UUAUGAGAGUUUGAUCCUGGCUCAGGACGAACGCUGGCGGCGUGCCUAAUACAUGCAAGUCGAACGCUUCUUUCCUCCCGAGUGCUUGCACUCAAUUGGAAAGAGGAGUGGCGGACGGGUGAGUAACACGUGGGUAACCUACCCAUCAGAGGGGGAUAACACUUGGAAACAGGUGCUAAUACCGCAUAACAGUUUAUGCCGCAUGGCAUAAGAGUGAAAGGCGCUUUCGGGUGUCGCUGAUGGAUGGACCCGCGGUGCAUUAGCUAGUUGGUGAGGUAACGGCUCACCAAGGCCACGAUGCAUAGCCGACCUGAGAGGGUGAUCGGCCACACUGGGACUGAGACACGGCCCAGACUCCUACGGGAGGCAGCAGUAGGGAAUCUUCGGCAAUGGACGAAAGUCUGACCGAGCAACGCCGCGUGAGUGAAGAAGGUUUUCGGAUCGUAAAACUCUGUUGUUAGAGAAGAACAAGGACGUUAGUAACUGAACGUCCCCUGACGGUAUCUAACCAGAAAGCCACGGCUAACUACGUGCCAGCAGCCGCGGUAAUACGUAGGUGGCAAGCGUUGUCCGGAUUUAUUGGGCGUAAAGCGAGCGCAGGCGGUUUCUUAAGUCUGAUGUGAAAGCCCCC